rnacentral:rRNA from 1 species
CCUACGGGAGGCAGCAGUAGGGAAUCUUGCGCAAUGGGCGAAAGCCUGACGCAGCCAUGCCGCGUGAAUGAUGAAGGUCUUAGGAUUGUAAAAUUCUUUCACCGGGGACGAUAAUGACGGUACCCGGAGAAGAAGCCCCGGCUAACUUCGUGCCAGCAGCCGCGGUAAUACGAAGGGGGCUAGCGUUGCUCGGAAUUACUGGGCGUAAAGGGCGCGUAGGCGGAUAGUUUAGUCAGAGGUAAAAGCCCAGGGCUCAACCUUGGAACUGCCUUUGAUACUGGCUAUCUUGAGUACGGGAGAGGUGUGUGGAACUCCGAGUGUAGAGGUGAAAUUCGUAGAUAUUCGGAAGAACACCAGUGGCGAAGGCGACACACUGGCCCGUUACUGACGCUGAGGCGCGAAAGCGUGGGGAGCAAACAGGAUUAGAUACCCUGGUAGUCCACGCCGUAAACGAUGAGUGCUAGUUGUCGGCAUGCAUGCAUGUCGGUGACGCAGCUAACGCAUUAAGCACUCCGCCUGGGGAGUACGGUCGCAAGAUUAAAACUCAAAAUGAAAUUGACGG